CUUAACUCCGGAUCUGCGGUGGGUACGGGCAGACUAGAGUGAUGUAGGGGAGACUGGAAUUCCUGGUGUAGCGGUGAAAUGCGCAGAUAUCAGGAGGAACACCGAUGGCGAAGGCAGGUCUCUGGGCAUUAACUGACGCUGAGGAGCGAAAGCAUGGGGAGCGAACAGGAUUAGAUACCCUGGUAGUCCAUGCCGUAAACGUUGGGCACUAGGUGUGGGGGACAUUCCACGUUUUCCGCGCCGUAGCUAACGCAUUAAGUGCCCCGCCUGGGGAGUACGGCCGCAAGGCUAAAACUCAAAGGAAUCGACGGGGGCCCGCACAAGCGGCGGAGCAUGCGGAUUAAUUCGAUGCAACGCGAAGAACCUUACCAAGGCCUGACAUGAACUGGAACAGCGCAGAGAUGUGUUGGCCGCUUGCGGCCGGUUUACAGGUGGUGCAUGGUUGUCGUCAGCUCGUGUCGUGAGAUGUUGGGUUAAGUCCCGCAACGAGCGCAACCCUCGUUCUAUGUUGCCAGCGCGUUAUGGCGGGGACUCAUAGGAGACUGCCGGGGUCAACUCGGAGGAA
rnacentral:rRNA from 1 species